AACUUACGCUAUAAAAGUCACAGUUUCUGUACUAUAUUGGUAUUAGAAGCUUUCCGGAUUCAUUUCUGGACAAUUUUUUUAUAAGAUCUUCGGAUC
rnacentral:misc_RNA from 1 species